GACUCCAUUUUUCGUUUUUUAAAAUAAAAAGUCGAUUUCAAAAAAAAGUUUUGACAAUUACCAUAAAAGAUGUAAUUGUAGCAUGAUUUGGGACUGAACGAGAUGCUACUAUUGGUCUUGGUACAAAUGAGAGUGAUGUUGUUGGAGCUAGUGGUGAUGAUGCAGAUGCUUUGAAUUGCAGAUGUUUGAGCAGGAGCUGGUGGAGGUGUACUCUACAAAAUUCACAUAUUAGGG
rnacentral:lncRNA from 1 species